CCUACGGGAGGCAGCAGUGAGGAAUAUUGGUCAAUGGGCGGGAGUCUGAACCAGCCAAGUAGCGUGAAGGAUGACUGCGCUAUGGGUUGUAAACUUCUUUUGUAGGGGAAUAAAACGAGCCACGUGUGCCUUUUUGCGUGUACUUUAUGAAUAAGCAUCGGCUAACUCCGUGCCAGCAGCCGCGGUAAUACGGAGGAUGCGAGCGUUAUCCGGAUUUAUUGGGUUUAAAGGGAGCGUAGAUGGGUUGUUAAGUCAGUUGUGAAAGUUUGCGGCUCAACCGUCAAAGUGCAAUUGAUACUGGCAGUCUUGAGUACAGGUGAGGUAGGCGGAAUGCGUGGUGUAGCGGUGAAAUGCUUAGAUAUCACGAAGAACCCCGAUUGCGAAGGCAGCUUACUAAACCGGGACUGACAUUGAUGCUCGAAAGUGUGGGUAUCAAACAGGAUUAGAUACCCGAGUAGUC
rnacentral:rRNA from 1 species